rnacentral:ncRNA from 12 species
CGGACUAGAGGAUAGAACAGGUAGCUAUCGCACUGGAGACAUCCGGUGAGAUGCGGGAGUACCACCCCGCCUAGUCGA